rnacentral:lncRNA from 1 species
UCUGGAUAGUUCCAUAGGUUCAUGGCCUUUCAAAACAAGCCCUUCCAGUUAUAAAAAAGGUCUUUGUCUAGGUAAAAUACAGGGCCCGCGGGGGGGAAGGAGGCAUUUUGAAAGACAGAUAAGUCAGGGACAGUUUCCUGAAGUAGCCUGUAAUCAUUGCAAGACAAAGAUAAGAUAAGAGCCAUCCUUUAUUUGCAUUUGCACGUUCCGAACAUGUGGACACUGAAUAGGCUCUUGUAAACACUCUCAGAGCCUGAUUGUUGCUCCCCUGCUCGGGAGUCACGCACUAUUAAUCAUGCAGAAAUAGGCCAGGCCCUUCGCCGCAACCUAAUCCAAUACUUCUGCUCAGAAUGGUCUAUAAUUAAAGAGUGCGAGAACUGUUAGAGAUGAAACAUUAGGAUAAGGAGUCGAUAUAAGCUGGAAGGGCUGAGCCUCCCAACAGUGCACGCAGCUCUGGACCGACGUCAGCAAUGAGGCUCAUAUACAUCUUGAUUCUGUUGGGGGAAGUGGUAGCAGAGCCAGUCACAGCCCGUAGAGGCGUGCUGAUGUUGCUGAAUGAGGCCCUGGCCAUGACUACGGAGAAGACGGUGGUGUCGACCCCUGCAGCGUACAGGAAGCCUAACCCCGCCAAUAAAGCAGAGGUAGAGCCAGACUCCGAAGACGUGUCCGAAGCAGCAUCGGAAGAGAAGAUGACGGAUUCCGACAGUCAGGAGAUCCCGUCCUCCAAGGCCAUGCAAGCAGGGAAACCUCCAUUCAAGAGGAGGACAGCCGUAGACGAGAUGAUCAGGAGGUGGGCGCAGGAGCGGGGCAGCAGGGAGAGGAACGAUCCUGACAGCGAAGAACACCCCAGUCCUUCAGGAGCUCAGGCGCUCUGCCCAGACAGGACGGCAGAACCAGCCAGUGAUGAUCAAAGCAGGGACCUGCAGGACCCGGACAGUCCGGAGGGCAACUGCGGCAGACCAGCACCAGCGGAAGGCCGAGACUUGGAGAUCCCAGCGAGGUCUCCGGCGGCUCCUCCGGAGAACAAGCGGAGAGCAUCCGGUCCGACCAAGAGCCAGAGGCCCUGAAGAUGACGCGGAG